rnacentral:tRNA from 1 species
GAAGGUAUAGCUCAGUGGUAGAGUGUACACUGAGCCUGCAAGGAGAUCCUGGGUUCAAUCCCCAGCAUCUCCA